UGGGGAAUUUUGGACAAUGGGCGCAAGCCUGAUCCAGCCAUGCCGCGUGCAGGAUGAAGGCCUUCGGGUUGUAAACUUCUUUUGUACGGAACGAAAAGACUCCUUCUAAUAAAGGGGGUCCAUUACGGUACCGUAAGAAUAAGCACCGGCUAACUACGUGCCAGCAGCCGCUGUAAUACGUAGGGUGCGAGCGUUAAUCGGAAUUACUGUGCGUAAAGCGUGCGCAGGCGGUUACAUAAGACAGAUGUGAAAUCCCCGGGCUCAACCUGGGACCUGCAGUUGUGACUGUAUAGCUAGAGUACGGUAGAGGGGGAUGGAAUAACGCGUGUAGCAGUGAAAUGAGUAGAUAUGAGGAGGAACACCGAUAGCGAAGGCAAUCCCCUGGACACGUACUGACGCUCAUGCACGAAAGCGUGGGGAGCAAACA
rnacentral:rRNA from 1 species